GUAAAAACAAGUUUAUAAUCACAGAAAUGAAGUGCUGAAAUAGUCACCCAGAAGUAAUGGGCGGUGAAAACUGGUUUCAAAAUGGACUAAAAAGUCUUAUUGCAGCUUUAUAGAAUGAUACUCAGUGAACCAAAGAGGUCUCAUCCAGUUCAGUUUCCCAGCUACUAAAAUGCAGGAUCUGGCAGUCAUCUGAAAUCUGUGCAUGCAUUGAACUGCUACCAAUUAAAAUAAUUGUCACCUGUCUUUUCUUACCAGGACCAUCACCCUGAGGAACCCAGAAGAUUUAAACCACUCUUGGAAGAUGCUCACUUGAGAAAUUUUUACUUCCUCCUAUGUUAAGGAAAAAUCUACACAAAUAAUGUGCCAUCUACCUAACUCUGGAGAAACUUUAAGUGUCUUAAUUUGAAGAUAUGUUUCAUUGACAUCCAAAUGGGUUGGAUUUGCUGCUUUCCUCCUCAGCAAGAAGAUCAAUCGGUAAAGACAAGUACCUUAUAAGCAUGGCAUAAUCUAGUCUGAAGUAUGUGGCACCAUGUCCAAGCAACAGUUGUGUCUGCGUAGUCUGGGAACAUCGUCCUUACAAGCAGAUGGCUCUACCUCUAUUGGAACGUGCGAGGGAUGCAUAUGCAAAGUGAGGCAUGAAAAUGUUCAAGAAAAUUCAGAAGGCAGAAGUUCUGGAAAAUUCAGGAGACACCACACAUAGAAUGACGCGAACUCACAUGCCUGGGUGCUGGAUUUCAUCUCUAGGGCUCCAGUUUGUGUUCCUGGAUUGUUGAUAUCUGAGGCAAUUUUCUAUUCUGAAAAUUACUCUGCCCCAGUUCUUAGGAAACAUGAACAACUGGCAGAUGGGAUUAAAACAAGUAAUGUAAUGAAAUGUCACCUUAAUCUGUUGAUACUAGCAAGGACUUCAUAAAGAAAGGUUUCAUCCUGUCAAAUUUUGUGCCCAAAUAACUUAUAAACCUCAGCACGGAUCCAUACCACAAACUGAACAUACAUGUACACCACCAAAGUUUAGAGUGACAAUUUAGGAGAGAAAGAAAUGCAGCAGUGUGAUAAAAGGGGCUGAGGAACUACAGUUUGCUUUCCCCUUCUAGAGGCACAAUGAAACUCAGAGCUUUGCAUGAGCUACUCUCCCAGUGGCUCAAGAUAUUAGGAGAGGAGCAUUCUUCUUGUAUGUUAAACAUUUAAAGCUAUAAGACAAAUAAAAUAAAAUAAAAGAAUAUGCCAGACCAAGAAGUGGGUUUACAUUUAAAUACAAAAUUUACAGAUAAGUUUUUUGGAAGAAGAGUUGGAGCAAUUUGGAAUAAGUUUGGAUCUUCUCAUUCUCUUAGGAUCGAAUUGCAUGGUAUUCUCUAAUACUGUACAUGUUUUGACACAAAAAUUCAGUUGAAGUCUUAUUUUGUCUUGGAUCUAUUGCAGAUUAUUAGCACUGGAUAUAUCAAUAUCGAGUCUAUACCCUAAACUAGAGCUGGCAAAGACUUUUGGUUGUUUUUUUUUUUGUAAACACAGAUUUAUAAUGUGUCAAAAACUCUACAGACCCCUUCAAUCAGAAGUCAGGAGGGAGGCUUUCAAAGCACUCUGGG
ensembl:lncRNA